AACCUUACCUGGUCUUGACAUAGUAAGAACUUUCCAGAGAUGGAUUGGUGCCUUCGGGAACUUACAUACAGGUGCUGCAUGGCUGUCGUCAGCUUGUGUCGUGAGAUGUUGGGUUAAGUCCCGCAACGAGCGCAACCCUUUUCCUUAUUUGCCAGCGGGUUAAGCCGGGAACUUUAAGGAUACUGCCAGUGACAAACUGGAGGAAGGCGGGGACGACGUCAAGUCAUCAUGGCCCUUACGACCAGGGCUACACACGUGCUACAAUGGUCGGUACAAAGGGUUGCUACCUAGCGAUAGGAUGCUAAUCUCAAAAAGCCGAUCGUAGUCCGGAUUGGAGUCUGCAACUCGACUCCAUGAAGUCGGAAUCGCUAGUAAUCGCGGAUCAGAAUGCCGCGGUGAAUACGUUCCCGGGCCUUGUACACACCGCCCGUCACACCAUGGGAGUUUGUUGCACCAGAAGUAGGUAGUCUAACCGCAAGGAGGACGCUUACCACGGUGUGGCCGAUGACUGGGGUGAAGUCGUAACAAGGUAGGCGUAGAUGA
rnacentral:rRNA from 1 species